UACUAUUUGUGAAAAAUCCUCACAUUCAUAAAUUCUAAAUUUAUUGCACUAAUCUGCCAAAAUAGU
rnacentral:tRNA from 1 species